rnacentral:lncRNA from 1 species
UCAUUAGGCCACACCAAUUUGAUUAAUAGUUCUUUGGAUUUUCCCUCUCCUGUUUUUGAGAAAUCAAGUUUUCAACAACAAAAAAACUACCGCAUCCGUAUUUUGUGGUCCGCAUGCCGCUCCAAAAUUAGUCUUGUCUUGAAAAUUGUUUUUCUCACUGCCGCUUGUUUUUGCAUAUAAUCUAAUCUGGGUUCAAACGCACGUGUGAUCAAUUAAUAAAAAGUGAAAGGAAAUAUAAAAAUCAUAAUGUCAAGCCAUCAGUUGUGGUUUUGGCUCAAUGCCGAGGACAGGCAAUCAUUGAAUAAACGGCUGCCAUCCGUUGUUCGAUAUCAUUUACAUUCGAAGA